rnacentral:rRNA from 1 species
GACGAACGCUGGCGGCGUGCCUAAUACAUGCAAGUCGAGCGAACAGAAAAGGAGCUUGCUCCUUUGACGUUAGCGGCGGACGGGUGAGUAACACGUGGGCAACCUACCCUAUAGUUUGGGAUAACUCCGGGAAACCGGGGCUAAUACCGAAUAAUCUCAUUUGCUUCAUGGUGAAAGACUGAAAGACGGUUUCGGCUGUCGCUAUAGGAUGGGCCCGCGGCGCAUUAGCUAGUUGGUGAGGUAACGGCUCACCAAGGCGACGAUGCGUAGCCGACCUGAGAGGGUGAUCGGCCACACUGGGACUGAGACACGGCCCAGACUCCUACGGGAGGCAGCAGUAGGGAAUCUUCCACAAUGGGCGAAAGCCUGAUGGAGCAACGCCGCGUGAGUGAAGAAGGUUUACGGAUCGUAAAACUCUGUUGUAAGGGAAGAACAAGUACAGUAGUAACUGGCUGUACCUUGACGGUACCUUAUUAGAAAGCCACGGCUAACUACGUGCCAGCAGCCGCCGUAA